UUCAGCACCCAGGUAGCAAUGGCAGAUGAUAAAACUGAUUAUAUUUGUUGAUUGUUGUUGGAAGUGUCCCUCUGGGGGGAGAUUAUAGCAACAGAUAACAGAACUGCCAACACAGAGGAAUCUGGGUCUCAGGGACUGACAUCUUUCAGGGUCACACUCCACCAGGGGUGGGGGAAGGCAAAAGAACAGGAAGAAGAGAGAAACUAACAAUUACUAAACAUCUACAAGAUGUUCAACUGCAUUAGUCACCUGGGGUUUUCUUUUUUAUUGUUUUGCGAUGUUUUUUUCAAUGCUGGGAUUUGAACCCAGGGCCCUGUGCAUACUGGGCAAGUGCUCUACCACUGAGCUACAUCUGCAAGUCAUCUGGAAAAUGCAAAAUUAAAACCACAGGGUAGACCUUGAUGUACACAAAAAAGCAAGAGUGAGAUGCAGAGAGUAGAUAUGACCCCUCCACACAUACACACACACACACAAAGCACACACAUGCACACCCUAUUUUGAUUGGGUCCCCAAAGACUAUGUUCCUGAGGAGCUUACAACUCACUGAGAGCAAGGGGAUCAGAUGCUUUAAGAAGAAUUUUGAUGGGGAAAAGAAUCCUAGGCUUAGAGAACCCCCAGGUCUGCCUCCCCAUCUUCUUUCUUAAACUGAAUCUGAAUUGACAAUUCAGCUGACUAGAAAAUGAAUUUCUCAAGCAUCUAGAACAUAGAUUUUCACAGUCCCACACCCUUUGGUGAGGUGCCUGGUGCAGAAGAAAGGAGAGUUGACCUGCUGUGUGACUUCAGGCCAGCGGCCUGGCCUCUCCUGAGCUUCUGUCUGAAAUGGGAAGAACAACAGCUGCUUCUUGAUCUAUUUCCUUUACCCAAGGGCUUAGUGUUUGGGGGAAAAAAUGGGGAUUCAUGUGCUAUGAUCAGAACCACUUCCUGAAGUUGUCAAUUCCCAUAAUGUAUGCAUUUGUGUAAUCACACUAGAGGUUAUAAGGUAUAUUUUAUAAUUAAGUCAUUAAAAAAGCUCUGCUAUGGUUGACCUGGUUAUAAAUAUUUUCUGGCAGCAGCAGCAGGGGAAAAAAAGUAUCUAACAUUACAUCUUAUCCAAAGAAAGAUAGUGGGAAAGCGAGGAAAGGAGCUCAGAAUCCUUGGGCCUUUCUGUUCCCUGUGGAGCAAGCGGUGUUUCCAAGAUGGAGAUGGAGACCAGGAAGAGCAAGGAUUCAUGGACAAUGACACUUCCUGAGGGACCUUUGGGCAGAGCCACCAGAAAGCUGAGAGGGUCAGGUGCCAGCUCCUGUCACCACCAUGCUCCUUGCUUGCCAGGGUCCCUGCACAGCCAAGCUGGAGAACAGGAUUUUUUUUUUUAAUGCACCUUGUUUGGCCUUUUCCUGCAUGCAGAGUUUGCAAGCUGCUUCUCCUGGGGCUGGGGCUGCCCACGGGGGUAAAGCACAGGAUGCAGCAGAC
rnacentral:lncRNA from 1 species